AGCAAUGGCUGUUUCUUAGGUGGUUUCUUUGCUAAGACGGUGUCCAAAUGAGCAUUUCCAUUUAUGGGUUGCAGCUUCUCCAUCUCAGAGAGCAGGCGGAGGCGGAGCGUGUAGAAGACACAGAGUUAAGGGGAGAGACCUCAACACCCUGGGCAGCGCAGACUCACGGACGCUUUGCUGGGCAAACACAGACCAUCUGAGUCUCUCUCUGCGCUGGGUCCUGCCCUGCCCAGGUUAAUCAGAUGAGGUGUCCCCAUUUACAAAGCUCUAAGCCACAGGACCCCCCCGCGUCCCUCCCACAGCCCAGGAGUCCUGCCUCCCAGUCUGCAGCUCUAACCCACUAAAUGUGACUCACCUCCCAGAGGCAGGAAUAGAACCCAGGAGUCCUGUCGCCCAGUCUCCAGUGCUGUGACCAUUAGGCCAGUCUGCAGAUCACAGAGGACACCACGCAAACAUGGCCGGGGGUGGCAGUGCCAGUGACGGAGGGGGACAGGGUGCAGUCCCUGACAGAGGCAAUAGCCCAGAGGUCCCUGGUGCAGAGCUGCAGCAUGGCUGUGGGGUAGAGAAGCAGCUCGGUGGCUUGAAGCUUCCUGUGUUACAGUGAGGCUGAGAAGGACCCUGCGCGCUCUCACGAGUCAGGGUGUAGCAGCAGUUCCUGUGACAGGCGGAUGAAUACAAGAGACGGGGUGGGGGUGGGGUGGCUUUUUCCACCUCGUAGCAAUGAGUUCCACUGGCCAGGGAUAGAACCCAGAGCCCUGGUUCCCAGCCCCCCAGCUCCUCUAACCCCCUAGACCCACUCCUCUCCCCCAUCUGAGGCUUGAACCCAGAUAUCCUGAGUCACCCCUCCCCUGCUCUAACCACUAAAGCUGAGGCCUCGACAGGGAGCAAGAGCCCUGCAGUCCAAGGGCUGCAGCGGGGGUCUGGGCAUUGGGGCUUUCCCCACCCUGCCUAGCGCUUCUGCCAGGGAGUGGAGUCGGGCCACGGGUGUUUCCCCCGCCUUGCCCACCCAGUGCUUCCGCCAGGGCUCUGGGAUUUCCACUGGGGUGAGGCAUUCAUUUUUCCAGGGGCCCCCAAUUGUCCAGAGCCCCUGGGCACAGGCCCCGUCAGCCCAUUGGAUAAUCCGCUACUGCCCAGUUGGGCUCCUUAGACCGGUUAGGCACAGAGGGCCGGGUAUGCACAGAAAUGUGGGGUCCAGUGGUCCCCCCUGGGAAAAUACCAACGCCACCCAUCACCCCUUGGAGGGAGUCAUGUGUCCAAAGGAAAUAAAGCUUUGACAGGGCUCUCAAAGAGGCCCGCGCCCCAGAGAUGCAGCUGAGGUGGCUGGCAUGUGUGGCCGGGCUGAUGCCCCGGGGUUGGAUGUGAAAGGACAGGGCUGUUGGACUCAGGGGGCCACUUGCAACCAGGUGCUGCAGACGCUGAGCUGAGAACUGCCCAAGGCCUGGGAGCCCAAGUCCUCCCACAGCAGAUCUGCUAAGGGCGCUCCUGCCACCGGGCCUGCAGAGAAACCUCUUCCUGUCAGAGCCGGCGAGCCCAAGUGCUCUGACAUCCACCCGCCCGCUCGGCUUGGCUUGAAAUUGGCCGUCUCUGAGCAAGGCCCGGGGUGGAGUGAGCGGGGCAAGUUCAGAGGGUCGUGAUCCGGGGCCCUCAGUUAAAGCCGCAUGAAAAGGAGCCGUUCUUAAAUUCUUCACACCGCUCUGAAAACCAGUUGCAGACUCGCAUUGACUUGGAAAGUGGCACCAAGCCGCCGGGGCUCUGCUGGAGACUGCUGGAGCAAAGGGCGGUCGUUCGAUUGUGGAUGUCACAAGAUGCAGCCCCCUGCAUGAUGAGCUGCUGUUAAUACUCACACAUUUCACUGACUUCCCCAUGUGGGGGGCAACUGCCUUGAAAACCGGCACUGAGCAAUGGAGGCAGGGUGGGGUUUGUGAUGCAAAUUUGAGGUCAUUUGGUCCAGAGGUUCCCGCGAUACCCUCCCCGCCCACGUGCUGAUUGAACAUUUUCAGAUGGUUAUAAUGUUCUCAGUGCAGAGUGAGGGGAAAUAGCAAAGAGGCCGAACUUUGAGAAACGUCAAGCCUGGGUGGCCCCUGAGCUCAGCUACGCAAUGGGACCGAGGGGCCAUGCGGCCAUAGUGCAAAAGUGAGUCCACUCCUCAAGCUGUUCGCACCUGUGUUUAAUAGCAGUUCACACCUCUGCGAGGUACGGCUUCCACAAGAAAUUGAGGAUCUGCCAAGGGCGGUCCUGCAGCCAGGCCUACAGAGAAACCUUUUCCUGUCAGAACCGACGCGUCCAAGUGCUCUGAAAUCCACGCGCCCGCUCGGCUUGGCUUGAAAUUGGCCGUCUCUGAGGAAGACCCAGGGCAGACACUCUGAAAACCAGUUGCAGACUCGCAUUGACUUGGAAAGUGGCACCAAGCAGCAGGGGCUCUGCUGGAGUCUGCGGGAGGAAAGAGCGGUCGUUUGAUCAGGGACGUCAGGAGAUGCAGCCCCCUGAAGAUGAGCUGCUGUUAAUAUUCACAAAUUGCACUGAAGCCUCCGUGCAGGGGGCAACUGCCUUGAAAAUCGGCACUGAGCAAUGGAGCGGGGGGUUGUGAUGCAAAUUGGGGGUCCUUUGGUCCAGGAGUUCCCGUGAUACAGGCCCCCCACACACACGUGCUGAUUGAACAUUUUCAGAUGGUUAUAAUGUUCUCAGUGCAGAGUGAGGGGAAAUAGCAAAGAGGCUGAACGUCGAGCCUGGAUGGCCCCUGAGCUCAGCCACGCAAAAGGACCGAGGGCCAGUGCAGCCGUGUAGCAAAAUUGAGUCCACUCCUUGAGCUGUUCACACCUGUGUUUAAUAGCAGUUCACACUUCUGCGAAGUACGGCUUCCAGCGGAAAUUGAGGGUGAGUAACACCCACGCUGAGCUGACACGUGGGGGCUGAGAGACACAGGCACUGCUGUUUUGAUCUCAACAUGGAGAUGUUUGAGUUCCUGUCCCUAUUAUCACCUUUGACUUGGUGUCUUGGUGACUUGGCUGACUUGGGACCACAGAUGGCAUGUAAGUCCUGUGCCAAUAACCGAUUCUUUGGGUCUCUGAACAGCCGAGGUGCGGGGGGGCUCAUUUGGGAUGACCCCAAAUUAUUAUUAUUAGCCAAUGAAAAGGUGUGGGGGGUGGGGAUGGAGAUUGUUUCAGUCUAAAGGAAAUGUUUUUUUUUU